rnacentral:rRNA from 1 species
AUCCGGGUUGCGGACAGUGUCUGGUGGGUAGUUUGACUGGGGCGGUCUCCUCCUAAAGAGUAACGGAGGAGCACGAAGGUUGGCUAAUCCUGGUCGGACAUCAGGAGGUUAGUGCAAUGGCAUAAGCCAGCUUGACUGCGAGCGUGACGGCGCGAGCAGGUGCGAAAGCAGGUCAUAGUGAUCCGGUGGUUCUGAAUGGAAGGGCCAUCGCUCAACGGAUAAAAGGUACUCCGGGGAUAACAGGCUGAUACCGCCCAAGAGUUCAUAUCGACGGCGGUGUUUGGCACCUCGAUGUCGGCUCAUCACAUCCUGGGGCUGAAGUAGGUCCCAAGGGUAUGGCUGUUCGCCAUUUAAAGUGGUACGCGAGCUGGGUUUAGAACGUCGUGAGACAGUUCGGUCCCUAUCUGCCGUGGGCGCUGGAGAACUGAGGGGGGCUGCUCCUAGUACGAGAGGACCGGAGUGGACGCAUCACUGGUGUUCGGGUUGUCAUGCCAAUGGCACUGCCCGGUAGCUAAAUGCGGAAGAGAUAAGUGCUGAAAGCAUCUAAGCACGAAACUUGCCCCGAGAUGAGUUCUCCCUGAGACUUAAAGUCUCCUGAAGGAA